rnacentral:tRNA from 1 species
GGGGACUUAGCUCAGUGGCAUAAGCGCCUGCCUGGCAAGCAUGAGUUCAUGGGUUUGAAUUCAGUCCCCA